rnacentral:lncRNA from 1 species
CUGAUUUGGAGGAUGUGAAAUGGCAUCUCAUUGUGGUUUGAUUUCACAUUUCCCCAAUGAGCGGAGAGGCUGAGCUUCUUUUCCUCUCAGCUUUCCAAAGAUGGAGCUUCUGUCCCUAGGCUCUUCAUUCAGUUCCAAAGUCCAUCCUGUAUCCACAUCACACUGUCCACACCCCAAAGCUUGACACCAAGUCUAGAUGUCUGGGAAGUCCCUCAGUUGCACUAGCGGCAUUGCAAGUGCUCAACAGGCAUGUAGGGCUGGGGGCCGUGCUGCUGGACGACACAGACAGAGAACAUUUCCAUCAUUACAGAAGCUUCUCCUGAACGGCACUGGUCUACGGACUCGGAGGCUGCGGGGUCUGGUGUUUUUUCUAGAUGAUCUUCAUGCAUUCUGAUAUUUGCUGAGAACCCACGACAUACCAGGCCCCGUAACAGGCAAUGGAGAUAAUUUGAUGGUGUCCAAGCAUGCCGCUGGCCACUGGACCCCUAGGGAUCCAGGACCACUGGAUCCCUAAACAGUCUAUGGAUGUGACAGGACUUGAAUCUUGACAGGGUUUCUCUGUCACCCUCUGGAACACAUGAGUCUUACCAAGGUCUCCGGUGUGCCAGCCACCUCUUGCUCAUCUGGCCCUAUCAGCAUCAUAGCAUCAAGCACAAAACACUAAAAGUAAUCAAAACUUUGGAAUUAUCACAAUGUUCUGAAGCUGCACCUGUAUUAUUAAGAAGAGUGAUUUAGAAAGAGAAAUAUCUAGAAUCGAAAAACAAUUCCUCCACUCUGGAUAAUCUUGAGCACAGCAGCUUUGUCUUACACAUUUAUUUAUCUUUCAUGGUUUACACAGGAUGUGGCACAUGCAUAAGUAUUUGUUAAAGGAAAGGACAGUGGAAUGAAUGCAUAAAGCCAUGAAAGCAUGAAAUGAAAUGAAUUCUCCUUCCUCCAAAGUAAUUUCAAAGGGGCAUUUAUAGCUGGAUAGUGAAGGAAGGAGCUGUAGAGAUCUCUGAAUCCAGCUCUUCCCUUUGACACAGAGGAGUCAAUGGUCAACAAGGUUCAGAAGUUCGCCCAAAGUCAUCAGGUGAGGUUGUCUUCCUUGCCUUCCCGAUUGUAGCUUUUUACCAGCGACCACUGGUGUUCAUUCCAUAUUUUAUGAUUUCCUGUCAACAACAACAAUAAAAAGGUUUCUGUAUGAUUAUUGAAUAUUUUUCUAGAGAGCUUGCUCUGGGACACAUGACUACUUCAGUUUCACAGCAAAGACAAAAUUCACAAGUAGUGUCACCUACUUUGAAAGAUAUUUUAGGGCCUAAGCUGCCACUGAGUUGCUCUUUGUAGCUAACCUAAGUCCCUCAUGCUAUACUUUGUCACUUUCUGAAAUUAAACAGCCAUUUUUCUGUGGGCGUUCUUAGGACUCUGCCUCCCUCUGCUGUGGCAGGUCCUGCACUUUGUUUAAGAUUCAAGGUUACGCUCAGGAGACAUGUUGGAUUUGCACCAGGCUGGAAGGCACACCAGAGACCAAGGAGCUUCAUGGCUUCAUUUGACGGUCACGGACACUUAGGGCCAGCCAGCGAAAGUGACUUCUUCAAAGUUGCAUCACGGUUCCUUGGCAGAGCUGGAACUCCAAUGAUCACAGGUACUCAAGCGACAAAGGCAAUGCCUUCGCAAAAGGGAACUUCGCCACUCACGAAGAAUACCUGUGUGUCCAGAUCAGGUACCCUCCUGAUGUCAAAACCACUCCUGAUUCUCAGCAUGCCAAAAGUUGAAUUUAGGGGAAAUCCUUCUCAGAAUUUUCUCCACCACCUUCUUGCCCACCUGAAACUCCUGCUCAUCCAACAAGAAGAUGGGAACACUUCUCCACAGUAUCCACUGAACCUCCUACUCCGGGCAAAAAUAAGUACCCUAUGGGGCCAGCCCAGGGGCAUAGCAGCUAAGUUCGAGCACACCAUUUCGGCAGCCCCAGGGUUCACCAGUUUGGAUCCCAGGCAUGGAUCUACGCACCGCUUCUCAAGCCAUGCUGUGGCAGGCGUCUCACAUAUAAAGUAGAGGAAGGUGGGCAUGGAUGUUAGCUCAGGGCCAGUCUUCCUCAUCAAAAAGAGGAGGAUUGGCAGCAGAUGUUAGCUCAGGGCUAAUCUUCCACAAAAAAAAGAAAAAUAAAAAUAAGUACCUGUAAGCCUUUCCUUUCUCUAUUUCACAUUUACCCAGGAUUCAUUUUCAAAAACAAAAUCUCAGAAAACAUUCUUCCCACUCUCCCCUUAACUUUUACUCUUUUAACAUAACUUUGGGGUUGUUUGAAGAUUGUUUUAAAUGUCUAUGUGAAUUGCCUGCAUGUUUAUUAAUAACUGUAUUCUCUGUUUGCUAAUACAGGUACACAUUUUACUAGUUUUCUUGCAUGAAAACAUCAGAAAAUGGCAUUGCCCUGGAAAUCCCGUGCCUUGACCACGUUCCCAUUUUAAUCCCGACGUCUUACAUUCUCUUUUCUGUAGCUGGAGGACCAGAGUGAGGGCCUCGUGGGGUCCGGGCUCUCAGUAUUUUGUGGGGGAGAAAGGACAACGGGGCAGCCUGUCCGUAGAUAUCACCAAAGACCUAAGCACAGUUUUUGAGGAGGAACAAAGACACCGUCCAAUCUGUUUGCACACACACACCUAGGGCAUUCAUAUGGCAGCCCUUAUGCACUGAGAGGAGAACUGAGACACGGAACCUGUAGUAGGUAGAGGACAAGGAGAGGGAGAAGGAAUAAAUCCAACUGCUCCUGCACACUUCCCCAGACGAGACCCGGGACGAGACGGGGUAAUGUCACCUCAGACCUAAACCAUUAAGCUACAUCGUGCCUCAAAGAAGCAGAAACUCAGACCAAGAUUCCUCCCUCUCUGCCCUCCCCUGGAUGGGCCCCUGUGAAAUCAAGGGACUGGCUUGGGAAGGACUUUGCACACUGACCUCAGAAAUUCUUUUUAGGGGAAUGUGAUCCCUUUUAUUAUACAGGGAGAUAUAAAACUGCGUAUGAAUUGGCAAUUUUAUUGCCUGAUUUGAACAUUACAUUUUAUUAGCAUAGUGGGUGUUUUUUUGUCAUACUCAUUACCUACUGCCCACAGUGAGGAUGGGAGCUCCGUUCUGGCUUGCACGGGAAGGAGAUUCAGAGCAGAGUGCCGGGGAGCGCCCUGCACAAUUGCACUGUUCUCUGAAAGCCUGUCCCAUCUUGUGGGUGGCUGUUAUUUGCCUCUGCAUCUAACUCUGCAGGCCCUGCAGGAAGCAGCGGGCUCCUUGAGGGCGGGGCCCGCUUCCAACCUCCCUCUCUAUCUGGCACGCUGCUGGGCAUACAGUCCUUGCUCAAUAACUCUCUGGAUCCACCCCUGUUCCUUUGGAUUCUGGUUGCAGUGUUCUCCCCUCUGCCCUGUGCUGCCCUUAGCCAUAACAUCAGGCUUAGUGCGCUUUUCCCAAAGCUUGCGGCCCUCCUCGUUCACCACAUCCUGCAUCCCCUAUGUCCAGAGCAAUUGCUUUGUGCCCACGGAUGGCUUUGCUGAGGCAGCGCUCCCUGGAGAGGCCAGGCUCCUAUCUGCGGCCCGUGAGCAGGGGUUUGGCAGGCCGAGGUCCAUCCUGGCACAACUGAUUUCUGCGUGAUCAGCCCAGGACAUCAGUUAGCAGGCAGGUUGGGAAAGGAUGUAAAAUGAAUGGUCCCUGAUAACUCGAUCAGGAGCUGGAGCCAGAGAUCAUAGAGAAAUUUAUCACCAGAAGUGACAGCACCAGGCCCUAGCAAGAGCUUCCCCAGGAUCUGGCUCCUGUGCUGAGGGUUUCUGUCAGAUACCCUAGCCCAUGCAAGAAAGAGAUCAGGGUUAAAGAAGGUGGGGGAGUGAUCCUGAGUUAUGGGGGAAUGAGCCUGAAACGAGGCUGGUCCGGGCUCAGGUCUGAGCCCUCCACUUAGCAGGUGGGCCUUGAGGAAGUUGCUUAAGGUCUCCGAGCCUCAGUUUCUUCAUCCGUGCAAUGGGUAUAAUGCCACCUCCCUUUGUGAGGGGUCCACAAAUUAGUAGAGAUCCGCACGUGGAAGGUGCUCGAUAAAUAAUCUGUCGAAUGAGUUACCGAAUACCAAUCACCUUUCUCAGUGCCUGGCCCACCACCGAUGCUUUUAAUGAAUGAAUGAGUAUCAAUUUGCUAUCAUAGUGCACGGCAUUUAGUCUGUUGUUGAAAAUAAAGUUAGGUCUCUCCCCCACCAAGAUUUUACCCCCUCCAACCUGUUUUCCUUCACGAUUUGUAAAUGCUGGCCCAGAGAGGUGAGACAACCUUGUCAAGGUCACAGAGCGACUGUGAAUCAGAGCCCCUUUCCUGCUCCCAUGCUCGGCCCCGUAGAGCUCCGGCUGGCCCGCCGUCCACACUGCUUCCAGAGUCCAGAAUACCGCAGACCAGUUGCCUCCCGACCUCUGCCCAGGAGGACUUCCGUGCCCAUUGAGGUAACACUGACCCAGGGCCUCUAAUCCCGCUUCUGCUAGCCUACCUCCCCUCUUCCUAUCUGUGAUGGUUAAUUUUAUGUGUCAGCUUGGUUAUGCCAUGGGACCGAGAUAUUUGGUCAAACGUUGUUCUAGAUGUUUCCAUGAAGGUUGCUUUCAGAUGAGAUUAAUAUUUAAAUCAAUAGACUUUGAGUAAAGCAGUUGACCCUCCAUAAUGUAGGUGGGCCUUGUCCAAUCAGUUGAAGGUCUUAAUAGAAAAACAUAGACCUUCCCCAAGGAAGGAGGAAUCCUGCUGGCAGGCUGCCUUUAGACUCAAACUGCAACAGCAACUCUUCCCUGGGUCUCCAGGCUGCCAGCGUACCCUGCAGGUUUUGGACUUACGAAUGUAUAUCAUAUACACACACGGACAUACCCAUCCUAUUGGUUCUGUUUCUCUGGAGAACUCUGACUAAUACACUAUCCUUCUUGGUAGUUUAUUUUCCAGCUACUAGCUGCUACUUACCGUGUCUCCAAAGCACCAGGAUGGCUGUCACCUUGGCUUCUUUGCACAGACAUCUGUUUCUGCCUGGAACUCUGUCACUGCUUACUGUCUGGCCCACUGCCUUAAACUCAGCUUACCCAGACUCCUCCUUUGACCAGGGCCUAUCUAGCUGCAUAGCGCUGCCUGCCGUGUAGCUGUUCCUUCAUGGGGCUCCUGUUUUCCUGUCUAUGUAAUUUACGACCUUGUAUUGAAUUUGCACAUCUGUUGUCUCUCUCCUCACCUGGGACCACUGAAGGCAGGGCCUUGCUUAUGCAUCUCAGGCAUCUUAACCUAAGUUAACAAAGUUGUGUUGAAAACAAGGAAGGAAAGAAAGAAGAAAAGAGGGAAGGAAGGAGGGAAGGAGAGGGGAAGGGAGAGAGAGAGGAAAAGGAGGAAAGAUGGAAACAGGGAACCAGGAUGGGCAAAACCAAACAAAGUAACAACUCCCACUGAUGGGGACCGCCACAGGAGCAGAGGCACCCACUGAAAGAGCUCCCAAUAACCAAGCUGGAAGAAUUUGAGCAACAAAAUUAAGUGGUAUUGGAUUAAAACCCAAAUGAUAAAAUAAAUAUUCAGAGUAUACGUCCAUAUAAAUAAAUAAUUGAAUAAAUUAAUAAGUGGUGGGCACUUUUCAAAUGAUUUACAUAGAUAUACCACCAUCAAAGAGGGAACACGUAACUCACCCCGCCUCAGGUGUCAGCUGCACAUAGUGACUGUCCCCCAGAGAGUGCAGAAUAGAAAGGGGGAAAAAGCACAACUUUAUGGUGGAGAAACCUGAGGAGCAUGACCUCAGCCAGGUGGUCAAGGGGAAACACCCACAGUCAUAAAUCAUGUUGAUUGUCUACACCCUUGAUAGAGGAUGACAAUGGUUCUUCAUCUCUUCCUCCUCAAAACCCACAACCCUGGUCUAAUCACGAGAAAAACAUCAGAUACAUUCCAGAGGUGGGGCAUCCUACAAAACAUCCUCAAAACUGUCAACGUCAUCAAAAACAAGGAAAGUCUGAGAAGCAGCCUAGAGGAGCUUUAGGAGGCAAGACAACUAAUUAUAAUAUGAUAUCCUGGAUGGGAUCCUGGACGAGAAAAAGGACAUUGGGCAGAAACUAAGAAAACCUAAUUGAACCAUGGACUUUAGUGGACAAUGAGGUAUCAAUAUCAGCUCAUUGAUUGUAACCUAAGUGUCAUAGUAAGGUAAAAUGUUAGUAGUAAGAGGGGAAACUGGACGUGGAAUAUAUGGGAGCACUCUCUGCUAUCCUCUCAAUUUUUCUGUAAAUCUAAAACUGUUUUAAAAAAAUAAAGUCUAUUAAAAGAAAUAAGAAAAAUGGGAAAGUUAUUAAACAUCAACCAAUCUGAUUUAUCGUAACCUUAUUUGGAUCCUGAUUCACAAAAAAACAAAGAGAAAACUGGGACUCAAACCCUAGACUAAGCGUUCGAGUGAGAUUAUGUUGAUCGUCUGUGACUCUGUGGAAGUAUUUUUGUUCUUUUUUCUUAUAGUGAUUUCCCUUCUCCCAGAAGAACAUCCCUAGAGAUUAGUUGAAGCAGCAAGCCACAGUCCAGCCUUAAUCUUCCAGGAUUGGCUGAGUUACUUCACAGCAAUUCGUCUCCCUCCACUCCAAGCCCAGCCCACGGCAGUAAUUUGCAUUCUAAAGGAGGAAGUCAACUAACAGGAUUCAGAUAAGGAUGGUCAAUAGGAAAACCAAGUGUUAGAUGCAUUGGACAUUUACUACGCAUCGAGCCACUUUGACCAGAGUUCGAACCCUGCUCCUGCCACUGCGUGGUCAUGGAACUCAAUGUGUUCAGAUUGUCAAUUCAAUCCAACUUCAUUUCACUUACUUCAAUUAAGGAAUAUUUGUUAAGAAAUGACCGUGUUCCUAGUGCAAUACUAAGGAAUAUGAAGAUAAAUAAGACCCAGUACAUGCCUUCCAAGAGCCUGAACCACGUUUAGAGAAAGAAGAAACAUAUUUGAAAAGCCUCUGAUUCAGUAUUUGGACACGUGUUACUGAUCCGCGGAGAGCCCUCACGAAGGGGUGAUGACGUCUAUUAUGUAGUGAUUUUCAUGGCAACCUUGUGAACUGGUGAUUUUUACAGAUGAGGCAGCUGAGGCUCAGAUAAGGUAACUGACUGGUUCGAGAUUGCUCAGCACAGACAGACGAGAGGAUGGAGCUUGAAUCCACAUCUGCUUCCCCGAGCCCACUCUGUGCUUGGAUUUCCCCAGGGCCCCUACCCCACACCUGCCUGGCCCUGCCCACCUCUUACCUCCCAGCAUUCGAUUGUGUCUGUAUGUGAAAGCUCAGCCCUUGGUGACCCUUCCUAUUAAGGCUCCUGGAAGAAGACGGGCGUGCUGGGUCAGUUAUGAUAAUAGCUGAGGACAAUGGCAUCAGGAUUCACAUGAAGAAGGCUUUCUUUCUCCAUGACCAGCAACACCCUAGUUACGGUUUAUAUGCAACAUCUAUUUCUAGAAAGAAAACCUGAAGCGAGCCUCAGCAUUGCCACAAAUAACCGAGGUUGCUGUAAGAACACAUCUCAAUUUAUUUAUUUAUUUUUAAUUUUUUAAGAUUGGCCCUGAGCUAACAUCUGUUGCCAAUCUUUGUUUUCCUUCUUUUCCCCAAAGCCCCCCAGUACAUAGUUAUAUAUUCUAGGUGUAGGUCCUUCUGGUUCUGCUAUGUGGGACACUGCCUCAGCAUGGCUUGAUGAGCAGUGCCAUGUCCGUGCCCAGAAUCGGAAUGAGUGAAACCCCGGGCUGCCAAAGUAGAGCGAGAGAUCUUAAUCACUUGGCCACGGGGCCAGUUCCACAGCUCAAUUUAAAUUAAUAAAUCCACUUGGAAAGAUACUUUUCUGUCUCAGUCUUCUCUGCAUCAUUAGUGCCUGGAAGAGGGCUUCCUAUGGAGUAGGUGCACAAUAUGUUACUGUGUGAUGAUAAAUAUUUCUAUUCUUUCUGGG